UUUUGGGAUAGCAUUGGAAAUGUAAAUGAGGAAAAUACCUAAUAAAAAUAUUUUUCAAAAAGAAUUUGAAGAAUAUUUAUGGCUUUAGUGAUAAAAUUGAAAAGCUGAGCCAGGGUCACCUCGAGGAUUUAGAAUGGCUAUAGGAUACGGGGUAGACAUCAGGUUAUAUCUGAUCCUGAGUUCUUUACCAUUUCUUUCCAAGGCUUUAGUUUUGUAUUAGAGCUCCUAUAUGACUCUAUUUCAGUUCAGUGAGUAAUUACAAAUUGCUAGUAGGUGGAUCUGGAGAGAUGAUGGCUCAGCAGUUAAGAACAUGCACAAUUCUUGCAGAAGACCUGAGUUUGAGUCCCACCACACAUGUCAGACAGCUCACAACCUCCUGUAACUAUGGCUUCUGGGAAAUCCAAUCCCUGUGGCCUCCUCAGGCACCUGCACUCUCUGCAUAUGUUCACACAUAGACACAUAAUUAAAAGUAAUCAAAAUAAUUUGUAGAAAAUGGCUCAUAGAAUCUUUAGGCUUCUGUGAAAACUAAGAUCUCUUAAACUUACUGAUUUUUUUUAACAAUAUAAUUUUUAUUUUAUUGUUGUUUGAAUUUUGGUGCCAGAGCUCCAGUCCCAGGGCUUUAUCCACAUAGUCUACCACUGAGCUACCAAAAAAGGAAUGUCCGCAAGCAUCAAAUUUCAGAAAACCUUUCAUUAUUCAUGUAUUUUAAAAUGUACUUUGAAAGAAUUUAUUUUUAAACUAUUUAAUGUUUACAAUAUAUCAUAUUAAACGUGUAAAUGUAACUUUUAUUUGCAUGAUGUAAUUAUUGUCUCCAAAGCUUACUGCCUCCAUAUGCUAUCUUUUGCCUAGUCCUGGAAACUUCUAGCCUCCAUACAAUCUUAUGUGGGCCCAGAAUGUUUUCAGCCUCUGAGAAUUACUGCUGAAUAAGCUUACCCCUUCCUAGUUCUUUCUGAUCUCUGGUUGGCUCAACUCAGCUCUUCUGGGUCAAAACUACUCUUCAAGCUGACUGGUUCAGUCUGGCUUCUCUAUAAAUUGUUCUUCUUGGCCUCAAAUUAACUCUGGUAGUCUGUUCUCAUCAGAAGGCUUCUUGCUCUCUGGCUCAUCUAUCCUCACCUGUGUCUGGCUUGUUCUGUCACUGUCCAACUGCUUUCUCCUCUGUACUGCUCUCCCUUAAGUAGGUUCCCUUUCCUCUCUCUUCCCCUGAGAGUUGGGCAGAUCCUACUCUGUCAAAUCUUUCUCUGAUUUGUCACUUUGCCUGCCACUAAAUUACACAUCACUUUCAAACAUGGGUGCUUCCUUCUACAAACUAACUUUACCUUCAUUGUUUGGGAUUAAAGGUGUGUGUAAGGGCUGAGCCACAUCACAACUAGAAAUAGGCUUUUUUCUUUUCCAGUAAACAACAUAAUCUCAGGCAAUGAGCAAAUAUCUUGCAAAUAUAACCCUAUGAGCAAAUAUCUUUCAACAUAAAGAUUUUAGUAUCCUUGCUUUAUAAUUUUUACAGAAUGAUUUGAGAUGUGCCUUGAGAUGUGUUUGACUGUCUAUGUAUAUCUAACCACAUAUGUGGUUGAAGUAAACUUCAGAAGUACAAUGUUCUCAUAGUAGGUAUGGAAAAGAAGCUGUGUGUAUCCUAAUUAAUCAAGCAUGUGGUUUGACUAGAGUUAUUUCUGCUUUACCCAGUAUCUGUAUCUAGUUAGAAAAUCUUUAGCCUUACACUGAACACUGGAACCAGAUUUCUAUUUUUAUUGUUAAACAUUUCAUUCUUUAUUCUGAGGUUAGAUUAAUGGCUAGCUCAUUUAUCCUAACAACUCUAAUAGUUUUAAGUUGUUUUCUUAAAUCAUUACCUUUUUGGUUAGAUAACUUAUAUAUGUAUAUAUCCAGAUGGGUAUACAGGAUUAGAAAUGUUCCUACUUACCUUUAUCUCAGUUUCUCCUCUAAGCAUCUAUCUCCCCCUUUCAGCUUUGAGAAUUAAUUUCCUAGCUCAAAAUUAAUGUGUAGUCAUCAAAACUUAACCCUUUUUUUGUAACUGACCUAAAUGUGUUAAAAUUGCAGUGUUAGAUAAAAAAAGCUUUGUUUUUAUUUCAGGGUUUAUGGGAAAGAUAAACUAAAGCGUUGUUUUUGACUGGGCCUGAUGAUGCAAGCCUGUUAUCCCAGCUCCUUAGGAGGCAGAGGCAGGAAGAUGGCAAGUUCAAGGGCAGCCUGAAUAACAGCCAUACCGUGUCUCAAAGUUUUUAAAAGGUGAUAUUUGGAUACAAUGUAUCUAUAUGUAUAAGAUUCUCAACAAUUAAGACAAAAAUUAACAAAAUUUGACUUUUCCUUUGUCUUACUAUAUUAAACAGAACAAGUAGCUUACAAAUGCCAGGAGCUAAUCAUCUGCUUUUUUUUAACCCCUCUUCUGUAAAAUAUACAGUUAUAAAGAUUGAAGAUAAACUUAGGCCACUUUACCUUAGAAUGGAAACCCGAGGGACCGGUCUUUGGAGAUGGGGAUCAGCCUCUUCCAUGUGGACUGUUAGCUUAUGAUGGCUGAUUGUUGCCUCCUGACUGUUAUCCCCCUCUUGGAACUUUUGCUUUAGUACAGAUACUUUUCCUUUGUUUUGAAAUGCUUUUUUGUUUUUGUUUUGUUUUUUCCAGACAGGGUUUCUCUGUGUACUUCUGGCUGUCCUGGAACUUACUGUGUAGACCAGGCUGGCCUUGAACUCAGAAAUCCGCCUGCCUCUGCCUCCCAAGGGCUGGGAUUAAAGGCGUGCGCCACCACUGCCCAGCCCCUGAAAUGCUCUUGUGAUAACUAUGUAAGAAUAAUGUUUCUUGACAUCUUGAAAAUUACAUAAUGGUAAGCCUAAAAUGGAAGGUGAUACAUUCAUAGUUCAAACUUAGACUUCUUUAUAUUAAAAAAACUUACAUGUGACCUUGACAGUAUAUUAUUUGGGAAAAAAAUGUAUGGUUUAAGGUACAUUUGAAACAAUAAAUAAUUUGUUUUUGUUUUAUC
rnacentral:lncRNA from 1 species